AGCACUGUGUAUGUGUCUUUGUUGAACUGGUGGACAGACUUAAAGACAGGUAUAAAAGUAAAUCCUCUUUUGCAAGCAAUAGCUCAUUUUGAAUAUGAGUUUUGAUGCGUAUAAAAGAAACAUG